rnacentral:rRNA from 1 species
GACGAACGCUGGCGGCGUGCUUAACACAUGCCAGUCGAACGGAAAGGCCCUGCUUUUGUGGGGUGCUCGAGUGGCGAACGGGUGAGUAACACGUGAGUAACCUGCCCUUGACUUUGGGAUAACUUCAGGAAACUGGGGCUAAUCCCGGAUAUGAGCUCCUGCUGCAUGGUGGGGGUUGGAAAGUUUCGGCGGUUGGGGAUGGACUCGCGGCUUAUCAGCUUGUUGGUGGGGUAGUGGCUUACCAAGGCUUUGACGGGUAGCCGGCCUGAGAGGGUGACCGGCCACAUUGGGACUGGGAUACGGCCCAGACUCCUACGGGAGGCAGCAGUGGGGAAUAUUGCACAAUGGGCGGAAGCCUGAUGCAGCAACGCCGCGUGCGGGAUGACGGCCUUCGGGUUGUAAACCGCUUUCGCCUGUGACGAAGCGUGAGUGACGGUAAUGGGUAAAGAAGCACCGGCUAACUACGUG